GCCCACCAUACAAAUCUCAGAUAGGCCCUCCAUAAGGCCCAAGUAGUGAGGCCACUUGUGGCCACUCCUGCUGGGGCCAGCCUGCCUGCAGUCUCAUACGCCCAUUGGAUUGACUCCACAAACCAAUGAGAGAACCUGGUCUUGAAGAGUGGUUGCCCAAGGCAGUUAGGUUUGUAACAGACAGAGAGCUGGUCUGUUGUCCUGUGGGCACGUGUCUGAUGAAGAUUCACCAUCAAGGCCCUGACAGGGCACAACAGUGACUGCCCACUGACCCCUGCUUCACUCUCCUGAGGAGGGCAGAAAGGGUGCAGCUCAACAGACUGACUGGCAUGGGACUCAGACUAGACCUUAGGGUGGAAUGCAGGGUUUAGGUUUAACACCACCCCAACAUCACCCAGCAUUCCUCAUGCAUUGAAAGGGCAUGGAGCUCACCCAUUCUUUUAGCUGACACAAUUGCCAACAAGAACGCUGAUUUGAGAGAAACCAAUUUCAGCCCAACUGUUUCCAUGAUCAAGUGGCUCAUGCUGUAAGGUUGACAGUACCACCUCCAAAUCCCAUGGGAGGACAGCUGGCCUUCUGUGAUAGAGAGUAACCCUACGAGCACCUUUAAGAAGCUGAGCAAUAAUGUCGCAACAACCCGCUGCCAUUUUCUGAGGUCCAACAUGGGCUACCUUUAUGGCUGCCACCAUUCCCCUCAAAGUUUAGGUAGCCUUGCCCACCUCCAGCAUUUCCUGGAGGAACUGGAGGACAUCGGGGGCCAUGCAGGAGAGGGGAUCCACCUGUCCAGAGUUGCACCAUGAUUGAAACACUCCCCAACAAUAGAAAUAUGCAGCCCUGGUUGAUGGAGGCAGGGCCCCUUGCAUAGACUGGGGCAACCCCAUGGCUAGAAAUUUGGCCCUCUCAGGGGCCAGGCCCAAAGCCCGAGUCCCAGGGGAAAAAUAUGAAAAAGAGUCCCAUAGGCCUGGGAAAGGAGGUCCCACUGAACAGGGAGCUUCCAGGGGUGUCCUCGAAGAAGGGGUGCAAUCACUGAGAACAAGAUCAUUGGGGGCCACCAGGAUGAGUGUCACCUCUUCCACCUGGACUCUCUGUAGGAGUGGGUGCAAGAGGAUCAAGGGGAGGAAUGCCCUCCCUCCCCUUGAGGGAAGGCAUCUGAAGGCAUCAUUGUAGCCACUGAUGUGCAAUUGCAUCCAUGCCCAAGGGAGGAUCAUAUCUCCCUAUGGAGAAAAACAGGGGGCAUUGAACUCUGGAUGCAGCCUCCAUUUGCUGCAGAGGGGUCCUCCCCUGGAGAGCUGAUCCACUGAAAGGAUCGCGUGACCCGGCACUUGCAUUACUCUCAGGAACUUGAACCAUGGAUGUGCCCGCUCCCAUAUUAUCUGAGCUAAUCUACAAAGAUGAGGGGAGCCCAGGCCCCCUUGGCUGUUGAUAUAUGCCACUGCCAUUGUACUGUCUGUUCUCACCAGCACAUGGUGGUUCCUCAGCUCUGGCAGGAAGCGCAGAAGAGCUAGAUAGAUAGCCUGCAAUUCCAGAAGAUCGAUGUGCUAUGCUAACCAGGGUCUGUGCCACUGGCCGCUGAUGCCUUUGCCCUUGUGGACGGCUCCCCAGCCUACCAGGGAGGUAUCAGAUGACACCACCUGGGGAUGCAACACUGGCCCCAGUGCAUCACCCUGUGUUAAGCUGGUCAGCUGCUCCCACCAACGGAGAGCUACACGUCUGCAUGUCACCAACACUCUGGCUUGCAGAUUUGUCUGUGGGCAAAGUCCAAGGCUCAGGAGGCAUCGCUGCACUGGGUGCAUGUUCAGAAGAGCCACAAUGUGCACUGUGGUUGCUAUCAAUCCCAAGAGGCGAAGGCACAACCUCCAGGUGACCUUGGCCCCCAAACCCUGAGGGCAACCUGUCUUCCCAGAGAUAAGGAAAGAGUUCCUGGCCCGGCAUCCAAACACAUGCUUAGGAACUCUGUGGACUCUGAGGGCUGGAGGCUGCUCUUCCUCCUGUUGAGACACAGGCCCAGGUGCUCUAAGAGCUGCAAGAGCCAGGUCACACUAUUGCAACACUGCUGCUGGGCUAGCAAUGUGCCAAAUGAGAGGACACAGAACUCGAAGGUUCUGCCAUUGAAGGCCAGGGGUCCGCCCAAAGGAUCUCCCAGGACAGACACUGUCCCAAGAGUGGGACGGAGGGGCUGGGUUCUGAGACCUGUCAGGACUGAGGGGAGGGCUUGGGGGGUCCAUGGCCCCAGCCCCGCAUACUCAGCUGAUUGCAUUUAGCUCUACCACACUGGUUGGCCUCCAAACGGACCCUUAGGUCACCCUGCUGGAGCCUUCCCAACCUCCCCUGAGCACACCGGCAGGCAUCUUGGGCUUGCUGGGGCAUGUUAUUUGCAUCUGCCCCAAACAUAGCAGAUGACACCACAGGCAGCCUAAGAAGACAGGCCCAUAUUCCCCCUGCAGCUCUGACGGAGACAGCCAGAGGUGGCACCUCGCCAUCAGAGGGUGGCCAUGGCCCUGCCAGUUGCCACCGCUUGCUCCCUCAUAAGCUUAGCUAGGAGUGAGGACACCUGCUGCACCUCAGCAGCUAGAUUGGAGCCAACCUCCUCCAACUGUCUGGCCAGCUGGCGCUGAUACAAGGCUAGAAUAGCCCCAGUCUUAACCAGCUGUCUUAACCAGCUGUCCCUGAAUUGCCACAGCUCCAUGCAUGGACCAUGAGGGCAUCUUAGUUACUCUUUUCUGGUUUGUUUACCUUUCCCUUGGGAAUAACCCAUGGCUAAAGUAUGCCCAUUCACAUUCUCCAGCUAGUCAGACUUCACAAGGGAUUACGGAUGUGAGUGUCAGACAGCACAGCUAUGGUAGUGUAGCGAUCAGCUGGGAAGCACAUCUACCACUACCUCUGACAAGGUUAGAUUUCACAGGAGACAAUGCCUAUGCAAGCAGACCAGCAAGCUGAUGCUGCAAGCUGCCAUGCUAUCAACAGCCUGUGUAGGAAAGACAAUGCAGUGAUCCAGAGAGGGGCCCGUAGACCAGCUCUUCCACACACAAGGCAACUGUCUGUCUUUGAUGGUGUCAGUGAUCAAACCAAACAGCCAAUCAAAGGUCAUGGUCAGUAUUCUAGGUGACCAAUCAACAGAGCAGACUGUCUAUUCCAUCCCCCGCCUUCAAAGUCUCAAAAGUCAACUUGACAAGCGGGACUGCUGCUGCUGCACUGAGGAGUCGCAGGAUGGAUAGACAUGUUGCUGAGGUUGGCUGUCUGGAAUGUAGUUUCAGGACGUUUUAGAAGUUUGCACCAUGCAAAAAUAAAAAGAAUCACAGGGCAGCCCGGUGCGGUGUUGGUGCUGGGAGCUGAGGCGAGAGCAGCCGGUGCUGGUGGACGGUGCAAACCUCCAAAACUUCCCAAAACUGCAUUUCAAAUGGCGGACCUCAGCAACAUGUUUAUCCAUCCUGCAGUGAGCUGUGGCCAGCAUGCGGCAGUGCAGCUCCUCAGUGUAGCAGCAGUCCCGGGAAAAGAGUUCUGACAAGGAAGAAAGAAAAGAACAAAAUGGGAUCCCUGAGCUGCCAGAUGGUUGCCUUGCCUCUAAAACAAACAGGAGGAGACGGUUAAGAGGAGAGCAAGUGAGAGAGAGUCGAUAUACAAGAUAUUGAAUGACUCUAAAGGACCCCCUUCAUUGAACACUGUGGCAACUGCAUCAGCUGCUGUCCACCAGUUUUAGCUCCUCUGGCAAAAGGCCUGAAUGGCCUUUUAAGCACAGCGUGGAAGUGGAAGAAGCCACCAGUGAGAUGCAAGAAGGGGGGACUUGAAUUUAGAAGUCUAAAAUAAAUCUCUUUUUGCAUGGAUUUGUUGACCUUUGCUGGAAACUAAUUCUUUCUUUGUAGAUAAUUUCUUUUGAUAUGUUUAUGUUUGGAUAUCUUUUAAGUGUGUUAGAUGUUUAAUGUUGUUGUUGGUCAAGUUUCCCCUUGUGUCUGUGUAGGGCUAGUCCAUGUGUGUAUAUAACCUCAUUGUGUGACAUUUGGAAGAUUAGGUCUGUUUGGUUGUGUUGUGUUAAGUUUAGUUUCUUUAUUGCUUAGUUGACCUUAGUUUGGGCCCUAAUUUUUUGAACUACUUUUUCUAGUUUCUUAUGUUAUGUUAGAUUGUAUUUACUUUGUCAUUUGAUAUCAAAUUUUUCAACUUUA